rnacentral:piRNA from 1 species
UGGCUAUGCACUGAGAUGCUACAGGUUGC